rnacentral:snoRNA from 1 species
CAGAUACAGUGAUGAUCACAUAGUUCAGCUUAUGGAACAGUGAUGAACUGUCUUUCGCUCCUAUCUGAUGUAUCUG